GACGAACCGUGCGAACGUUAUUCGGAAUCAUUGGGCUUAAAGCGCGUGUAGGCGGAUUCGUGCGUCUGUCGCUGAAAUCCCCCGGCUCAACCGGGGAACGGGCGCGGAUACGACGAGUCUGGAGGGGCAUAGGGGGACCUGGAACUUCCGGUGGAGCGGUGAAAUGCGUUGAGAUCGGAAGGAACGCCCGUGGCGAAAGCGAGGUCCUGGAUGCCUACUGACGCUGAGACGCGAAAGCUAGGGGAGCGAACGGG
rnacentral:rRNA from 1 species